CGUUGUACCCGACCUGUCACGUCCCGCUAUCGCCAAUUUGGUCGAUCCGGGCCCGUACACAGACGCCGAACGAACAGCACCUCCUCUGUUCGCCCAAGGCUCAACAACAACGGAUACAUGUAUAAAGAAAUUAAACAAUUCCCAGGAUCACAUUUCAAUAUACAUGGCUUGCACGAAGACAAGCAACAACACAAGUGAUAGUAAGUCUAACUAAACAUGAAAUCCACUGUAAUUUAAAACUUUACAUAACUGAAAUAUUUAGUUAUUACAUGCUUUAUAUACAUUCAUUAUACGUCUCUGUACAUCGAAAUAGAUAAUACAUGAACCGAAAUGGUAUACCACUAGUACUCGGGUGUCCACUAGCUAGGCUGCUGGCUCUUGCCUCGAUCCUCGGCC
rnacentral:lncRNA from 1 species